rnacentral:rRNA from 1 species
ACGGCUCAGUAACACGUGGAUAACCUGCCCUUGGGACCGGCAUAACCCCGGGAAACUGGGGAUAAUUCCGGAUAACGCAUAUGUGCUGGAAUGCUUUAUGCGUAAAAUGGAUUCGUCUGCCCAAGGAUGGGUCUGCGGCCUAUCAGGUAGUAGUGGGUGUAAUGUACCUACUAGCCGACAACGGGUACGGGUUGUGAGAGCAAGAGCCCGGAGAUGGAUUCUGAGACAUGAAUCCAGGCCCUACGGGGCGCAGCAGGCGCGAAAACUUUACAAUGCGGGAAACCGUGAUAAGGGGACACCGAGUGCCAGCAUCAUAUGCUGGCUGUCCGGGUGUGUAAAAUACACCUGUUAGCAAGGGCCGGGCAAGACCGGUGCCAGCCGCCGCGGUAACACCGGCGGCCCGAGUGGUGAUCGUGAUUAUUGGGUCUAAAGGGUCCGUAGCCGGUUUGGUCAGUCCUCCGGGAAAUCUGAUAGCUCAACUAUUAGGCUUUCGGGGGAUACUGCCAGACUUGGAACCGGGAGAGGUAAGAGGUACUACAGGGGUAGGAGUGAAAUCUUGUAAUCCCUGUGGGACCACCUGUGGCGAAGGCGUCUUACCAGAACGGGUUCGACGGUGAGGGACGAAAGCUGGGGGCACGAACCGGAUUAGAUACCCGGGUAGUCCCAGCCGUAAACGAUGCUCGCUAGGUGUCAGGCAUGGCGCGACCGUGUCUGGUGCCGCAGGGAAGCCGUGAAGCGAGCCACCUGNNAAGUACGGCCGCAAGGCUGAAACUUAAAGGAAUUGGCGGGGGAGCAC